rfam:Pseudomonas syringae pv. spinaceae strain ICMP16929 PspICMP16929_Contig_649, whole genome shotgun sequence.
AUCUUGCGCCUAUGGCGUUGAUGUUCUCAGCAGCACCCCAGGUAGUCUGGAUCUCACGACUACGAUGCGUUCUACGCAUUGAUCCAAAAAAAGUUCGCAAAGCUUCCGGAGGCGCGAACGUUCGGCGACCCAAUUGCCGAUGGUUGC